CUACGGGUUGCUGCAGUAGGGAAUUUUCCACAAUGGGCGAAAGCCUGAUGGAGCAACACCGCGUGCAGGAUGAAGGCCUUCGGGUCGUAAACUGCUUUUAUGAGUGAUGAUUAUGACAGUAGCUCAAGAAUAAGGGUCGGCUAACUACGUGCCAGCAGCCGCGGUCAUACGUAGGACCCAAGCGUUAUCCGGAAUUACUGGGCGUAAAGAGUUGCGUAGGCGGCUUGUUAAGUUGGUAGUGAAAUCGUGCGGCUCAACCGCAUACACAUUAUCAAAACUGGCAAGCUAGAGAAUGAGAGAGGUUAUUGGAAUUCCAAGUGUAGGAGUGAAAUCCGUAGAUAUUUGGAGGAACACCGAUGGCGUAGGCAGAUAACUGGCUCAUUUCUGACGCUCAGGCACGAAAGCGUGGGGAGCAAACGGGAUUAGAUACCCGGGUAGUC
rnacentral:rRNA from 1 species